UACGUAGGGGCUAGCGUUAUCCGGAAUUACUGGGCGUAAAGGGUGCGUAGGUGGUUUCUUAAGUCAGAGGUGAAAGGCUACGGCUCAACCGUAGUAAGCCUUUGAAACUGGGAAACUUGAGUGCAGGAGAGGAGAGUGGAAUUCCUAGUGUAGCGGUGAAAUGCGUAGAUAUUAGGAGGAACACCAGUUGCGAAGGCGGCUCUCUGGACUGUAACUGACACUGAGGCACGAAAGCGUGGGGAGCAAACAGGAUUAGAUACCCUGGUAGUCCAUGA
rnacentral:rRNA from 1 species